UACGUAGGGUGCGAGCGUUAAUCGGAAUUACUGGGCGUAAAGUGUGCGCAGGCGGCGCCGCAUGUCGAGUGUGAAAGCCCCGAGCUUAACUUGGGAAUUGCGCUCGGAACUACGGUGCUGGAGUGUGGCAGAGGAAGGUGGAAUUCCACGUGUAGCGGUGAAAUGCGUAGAGAUGUGGAGGAACACCGAUGGCGAAGGCAGCCUUCUGGGCCAACACUGACGCUGAUGCACGAAAGCGUGGGGAGCAAACAGG
rnacentral:rRNA from 1 species